rnacentral:rRNA from 1 species
CCUUGAUCCCCCUGGGCUCAGGACGAACGCUGCCGGCGUGCCUAAUACAUGCAAGUCGAGCGGACAGAUGGGAGCUUGCUCCCUGAUGUUAGCGGCGGACGGGUGAGUAACACGUGGGUAACCUGCCUGUAAGACUGGGAUACCUCCGGAAACCCGGGGCUAAUACCGGAUGGUUGUUUGAACCGCAUGGUUCAAACAUAAAAGGUGGCUUCGGCUACCACUUACAGAUGGACCCGCGGCGCAUUAGCUAGUUGGUGAGGUAACGCCUCACCAAGGCAACGAUGCGUAGCCGACCUGAGAGGGUGAUCGCCCACACUGGGACUGAGACACGCCCCAGACUCCUACGGGAGGCAGCAGUAGGGAAUCUUCCGCAAUGGACGAAAGUCUGACGGAGCAACGCCGCGUGAGUGAUGAAGGU